rnacentral:rRNA from 1 species
GACGAACGCUGGCGGCGUGCUUAACACAUGCAAGUCGAACGGUAAGGCCCCUUCGGGGGUACACGAGUGGCGAACGGGUGAGUAACACGUGAGCAACCUGCCCUUGACUCUGGAAUAACAGUUGGAAACAGCUGCUAAUACUGGAUAUUCAUCGUCUCCUUCCUGGGGGGUGGUGGAAAGCUCCGGCGGUCAGGGAUAGGCUCGCGGCCUAUCAGCUUGUUGGUGAGGUAAUGGCUCACCAAGGCUUCGACGGGUAGCCGGCCUGAGAGGGCGACCGGCCACACUGGGACUGAGAUACGGCCCAGACUCCUACGGGAGGCAGCAGUGGGGAAUAUUGCACAAUGGGCGCAAGCCUGAUGCAGCAACGCCGCGUGCGGGAUGACGGCCUUCGGGUUGUAAACCGCUUUCAGUAGGGACGAAGGGUGACUGACGGUACCUACAGAAGAAGGACCGGCUAACUACGUG